rnacentral:rRNA from 1 species
GACGUAGGAGGCGAGCGUUGUCCGGAUUCAUUGGGCGUAAAGAGCGUGUAGGCGGCCAUGUAGGUCCGGUGUGAAAACUCGAGGCUUAACCUCGAGAUGUCAUCGGAAACCAUUUGGCUAGAGUCCGGAAGAGGAGAGUGGAAUUCCUGGUGUAGCGGUGAAAUGCGCAGAUAUCAGGAAGAACACCAAUGGCGAAAGCAGCUCUCUGGGACGGUACUGACGCUGAGACGCGAAAGCGUGGGGAGCGAACAGG